AAGUUAAAUUUUUGUGACUCAGG
rnacentral:piRNA from 1 species